GACGAACGCUGGCGGCGUGCCUAAUACAUGCAAGUUGAGCGAUGAAGAUUGGUGCUUGCACCAAUUUGAAGAGCAGCGAACGGGUGAGUAACGCGUGGGGAAUCUGCCUUUGAGCGGGGGACAACAUUUGGAAACGAAUGCUAAUACCGCAUAACAACUUUAAACAUAAGUUUUAAGUUUGAAAGAUGCAAUUGCAUCACUCAAAGACGAUCCCGCGUUGUAUUAGCUAGUUGGUGAGGUAAAGGCUCACCAAGGCGAUGAUACAUAGCCGACCUGAGAGGGUGAUCGGCCACAUUGGGACUGAGACACGGCCCAAACUCCUACGGGAGGCAGCAGUAGGGAAUCUUCGGCAAUGGACGAAAGUCUGACCGAGCAACGCCGCGUGAGUGAAGAAGGUUUUCGGAUCGUAAAACUCUGUUGGUAGAGAAGAACGUUGGUGAGAGUGGAAAGCUCAUCAAGUGACGGUAACUACCCAGAAAGGGACGGCUAACUACGUG
rnacentral:rRNA from 1 species